UAAAAAAAAUAUAUGAUCCAAUUAUAUUUUUUUUAAAACAGUUGAAUCUAUAUUUUUUACGUUCAAUACGUUGAACUUACGUUUUCAACGUUCAAUACGUCGAAUUUACGAUUUGAACGUUUAAAACGUUGAAUCUACGACUUAAAUUUCGACUCGGGUAAAAAUUAAAUUUUAUC